rnacentral:rRNA from 1 species
GACGAACGCUGGCGGCGUGCUUAACACAUGCAAGUCGAACGGAAAGGCCCUGCUUUUGUGGGGUGCUCGAGUGGCGAACGGGUGAGUAACACGUGAGUAACCUGCCCUUGACUUUGGGAUAACUUCAGGAAACUGGGGCUAAUACCGGAUAGGAGCUCCUGCUGCAUGGUGGGGGUUGGAAAGUUUCGGCUGUUGGGGAUGGACUCGCGGCUUAUCAGCUUGUUGGUGGGGUAGUGGCUUACCAAGGCUUUGACGGGUAGCCGGCCUGAGAGGGUGACCGGCCACAUUGGGACUGAGAUACGGAACAGACUCCUACGGGAGGCAGCAGUGGGGAAUAUUGCACAAUGGGCGGAAGCCUGAUGAAGAAAAGCCGCGUGCGGGAUGACGGCCUUCGGGUUGUAAACCGAUUUCGCCUGUGACGAAGCGUGAGUGACGGUAAUGGGUAAAGAAGCACCGGCUAACUACGUG